GGAAAGGUAGCUUGCUACUUUACCUAGCGGCGGACGGGUGAGUAAUGCUUAGGAAUCUGCCUAUUAGUGGGGGACAACAUCUCGAAAGGGAUGCUAACACCGCAUACGUCCUACGGGAGAAAGCAGGGGACCUUCGGGCCUUGCGCUAAUAGAUGAGCCUAAGUCGGAUUAGCUAGUUGGUGGGGUAAAGGCCUACCAAGGCGACGAUCUGUAGCGGGUCUGAGAGGAUGAUCCGCCACACUGGGACUGAGACACGGCCCAGACUCCUACGGGAGGCAGCAGUGGGGAAUAUUGGACAAUGGGGGGAACCCUGAUCCAGCCAUGCCGCGUGUGUGAAGAAGGCCUUUUGGUUGUAAAGCACUUUAAGCGAGGAGGAGGCUACCGAGAUUAAUACUCUUGGAUAGUGGACGUUACUCGCAGAAUAAGCACCGGCUAACUCUGUGCCAGCAGCCGCGGUAAUACAGAGGGUGCAAGCGUUAAUCGGAUUUACUGGGCGUAAAGCGCGCGUAGGUGGCCAAUUAAGUCAAAUGUGAAAUCCCCGAGCUUAACUUGGGAAUUGCAUUCGAUACUGGUUGGCUAGAGUAUGGGAGAGGAUGGUAGAAUUCCAGGUGUAGCGGUGAAAUGCGUAGAGAUCUGGAGGAAUACCGAUGGCGAAGGCAGCCAUCUGGCCUAAUACUGACACUGAGGUGCGAAAGCAUGGGGAG
rnacentral:rRNA from 1 species